rnacentral:rRNA from 1 species
CUCAAGCUUAAAAUCUCCUUGCAGUCUCUGCUCGGCGAAUUGUAGUCUAUUGAGGCGAAGUCAGCGCGCAGGAUCUGGUCAAGUUCCUUGGAAGAGGACAGCAUGGAGGGUUAUACUCCCGUCUUUGCCAGCGAAUGUGCGCGUACGACUCGUCUUCUUUGAGUCGCGUUGUUUGGGAAUGCAGCGCAAAGCAGGUGGUAAAUUCCAUCGAAAGCUAAAUACCUGUGCGAGACCGAUAGCGAACAAGUACCGUGAGGGAAAGAUGAAAAGAACUUUGAAAAGAGAGUUAAAGAGUACCUGAAACUGCUGAAAGGGAAGCGAAUCGCGUCCGCUGUCCGAAUCCGUGGUCAACACAGCUUCGGCUACUGUCACGGAGGAGUCAAAGUCAGUUUUGUGUCGACGGUAAAGUCGACCGUGAGCGUGGCAUGUUUCCCUUCGGGGGGGCGUACGAGGAACGUUCAGCGUAGCUUCGGCCAAGACUGAGGCGAUAACAGCAAACGUGGGAAUCCCGCAGGCCGCCCAGGUUAGCAGAUGACCGCGGCUCUCUCGGGAGUCGUGGCCUAUCGAAGCACCAUAUGUAUGCAGGCGGGGACGCACACGCUGUUAGGGACUUUGAUCAAAUGGAGCGAUUCGGCCCGUCUU